GAUGAAGAACGCAGCGAAAUGCGAUAAGUAAUGCGAAUUGCAGAAUUUCCGUGAGUCAUCGAAUCUUUGAACGCACAUUGCGCCCCCUGGUAUUCCGGGGGGCAUGCCUGUUCGAGCGUCAUUUCACCACUCAAGCCUCGCUUGGUAUUGGGCAACGCGGUCCGCCGCGUGCCUCAAAUCGACCGGCUGGGUCUUCUGUCCCCUAAGCGUUGUGGAAACUAUUCGCUAAAGGGUGCUCGGGAGGCUACGCCGUAAAACAAACCCAUUUCUAAGGUUGACCUCGGAUCAGGUAGGGAUACCCGCUGAACUUAAGCAUAUCAAUAAGCGGAGGA
rnacentral:misc_RNA from 1 species